AGCGAACGCUGGCGGCAGGCUUAACACAUGCAAGUCGAACGCCCGUAGCAAUACGGGAGUGGCAGACGGGUGAGUAACGCGUGGGAACAUGCCCUUUGGUUCGGAAUAACUCAGGGAAACUUGAGCUAAUACCGGAUAAGCCCGAGAGGGGAAAGAUUUAUCGCCGAAGGAUUGGCCCGCGUCCGAUUGGCUAGUUGGUGAGGUAAUGGCUCCCCAAGGCGACGAUCGGUAGCUGGUCUGAGAGGAUGAUCAGCCACACUGGGACUGAGACACGGCCCAGACUCCUACGGGAGGCAGCAGUGGGGAAUAUUGGACAAUGGGGGCAACCCUGAUCCAGCCAUGCCGCGUGAGUGAUGAAGGCCCUAGGGUUGUAAAGCUCUUUCGGCGGGGACGAUAAUGACGGUACCCGCAGAAGAAGCCCCGGCUAACUUCGUGCCAGCCGCCGCGGUAACAC
rnacentral:rRNA from 1 species